rnacentral:lncRNA from 1 species
UUUAGAUCAAGAAACUGAGUUACUAUAAAUAAUAAGAAAAUGGAUAUAACUAAUAAGACAUUAGGCCUGCAUGAGAGACUCAAUCACUAUUUGAGUAAUUAGGGAAGACUAUCAAAACCAUUGAUAUCCCCAUUUUUUACUUUUUAAAAUGAAAUUAGUAUAAUUAGUUGUUGGUUUAAGAAUAACUAUAUCUAUGCUUAAUGGGACAUAAUUUAUAUGUUUUAAUUGCCAAAAAUGCUCUUUAUUUGUGAAUCUCACUCAUAAAUAGGCACAGGAGUGAUUUGGAGGAAGUUUCUUCUACAUGUGUCUGAAAUUUUACUUUUUAGGAAAAGCUAGAAGUGGAAGGAUCAGGCAGCUUAUUAUAAGAGCGAGUUAUCAUUACUUCCUUCACUACUUGACUCCUUACAGGCAUCUCCACAUCAACAUGUGCUUCCAUUAACACUUUGACAGUGGAAAAGAAUGCAUGGACAAUGGAGAAUGGUGAACUAGUUCCUAAAUGCUUCCAUGUGGAAAUGAGAUGCAUCCUUUUCCUCUCACAUUUCAUUGGCCAAAGCAAGUCAACUGGCCAUGCCCAAGUUUAAGAGGGCAAGGAAAUGCAAUCCUUCCAUGUAACUCAGAAUGAGAGGAGAAUUGGAAGUCCUAUGGGCCUCAUUGAUGUCUAUCACACCAGUUAUAUUCUGACUUAUUUCCUUAAAUAUUGCUAAAACUCUACACUUUAUAUUCACCAUUUUGGUGAGGAGACAAAACAAGGACACCAUUUUUUUUUCUUUCUUUUUAUCUUUAUUUCUCUUCUUAACCAGAAACAAUUUUCCCCUAAACAUUGUGUAUUACCACGGAUAUUUUGGUGGCUUUAGAUCACUGCUUCUCAAGCUUUAAUGUGCAUGCAAAUCACCCAGCACCUUGUUAAAAUGCAUAUUUUGCUUCAGUAGAUCUGAAGUGGGGCCCCAGAUUCUGCAUUUUUAAAGAACUCCCAGGUGAUGCUGCUGCUGGCCUGCAGAGCACACUUUGAAUAGCAAGCCUUUGGUCUAUCACUCUAUUUAGACAGGAAGAGACAUCAUGAUUUUAGUUGAAUUCAAACAGAAAUUUAGACCAUUUAUUUUUUUCCUCCCUUACAUCUGAAUUAAGGGUGGUGUUUCACCGUUAUAGUUGUCAAACAUGUAGGGAGACUGUCAAUGCAACUCAAAAGCAUUCUUCUAAAGGAUAAUUGGCAUUGUGUUCAUUCAUAUUAAAACAGGACUGCUAGGAAGAAUGGAGACCUAAUUGAACACUCAAAGCAUCCCGCUAAAAGCCAGCGUCUAAUUAUGGUGGAGCCCACACAGCAGGGGUACUGAAGGGAAGAGGAGAUACUGAAAACAUCUUUAUACUCUUUUGCUCUGAAGAAGCCCUUCCUGAGAUCAAAUGCAAUUUGUGCUAAGGAGGCAGUGACUGACAAGCUUUAC